GACGAACGCUGGCGGCGCGCCUAACACAUGCAAGUCGAACGGAGCUGAGAGAAGCUUGCUUUUCUUAGCUUAGUGGCGAACGGGUGAGUAACGCGUGAGUAACCUGCCCUGGAGUGGGGGACAACAGUUGGAAACGACUGCUAAUACCGCAUAAGCCCACGAUCCGGCAUCGGAUUGAGGGAAAAGGAUUUAUUCGCUUCAGGAUGGACUCGCGUCCAAUUAGCUAGUUGGUGAGGUAACGGCCCACCAAGGCGACGAUUGGUAGCCGGACUGAGAGGUUGAACGGCCACAUUGGGACUGAGACACGGCCCAGACUCCUACGGGAGGCAGCAGUGGGGGAUAUUGCACAAUGGGGGAGACCCUGAUGCAGCGACGCCGCGUGGAGGAAGAAGGUUUUCGGAUUGUAAACUCCUGUCGUUAGGGACGAUAAUGACGGUACCUAACAAGAAAGCACCGGCUAACUACGUG
rnacentral:rRNA from 1 species